CGGACUCGUCGUCGUCCUCGCUGUCCUGGGACGCGCGCCGCCUCCUUCGCCGCCGGUCCGCCAUCUUAGGGCUCGAAUGGUUGGAACCGGAAAGAGGCAAAGAAUUGUGGGUAGUGAAAUUCUUCUUCACCGGGGCUUACGUUAUUUACUGCCAUCUCCUGGAGUUUUAUUUUAAAACAAUGUUUUGACUGUGUUUUUUACACUUAAAACGCAAGACGAUACAGAUUAUGAAAAUUUAAAAGUAAAACUAAUGUAGUAUAAAACGAGAUUCUUGUAGUAAAACCCUCCUUCGUGACGGCUCUAAUGUUAUUUUUUUAUUGAAACAGUGUUGGAUUAGUUUUAGCUGGGUGUUCCUAACAAACAGAACACUGAGCGGACAGUGCUGUGCGAAGUGCAGGCAAAAUGGCAACAGCAAAGUCAAAGAGAACUAAGCCAAAAUACCGGGAUACAGCCACAGCAGAUAGUGGUCUGCAGGAGGUUUAAGAUGAACAUAAGGUCAGUCUGAGGAACAGAUGUGAACGUGUGACUGAAGGAACUGAUGGAACAGGAAGUGGAACCCUCCUCAACAGGAUCCACACUGAGCUCUACAUCACAGAGGGACAGAGGGAAGAGGUUAAUACCCAACAUGAGGUGUGGCAGCUUGAGACAGCUUCCAAGAUGAAGACCUUCCAUGAAACUCCAAUCAAGUGCUGCGACAUCUUUAAAUCUUUGUCUGACCAGCAGAGACGCAUCAGAGUGGUUCUGACCAACGGCGUCGCUGGCGUUGGAAAAACCUUCUCGGUGCAGAAUGGGGAAUCUGCUUCCCUCGGCUCUCGUCUGGAUAACUUCCCGACCUGCAGCAGCCAAUCAGAUUCCUCCUAAAUGUGUUGACAGGGUAACAGAAGUACGAGGCUUCUAGCCUCUCUGCUCUGUCCCUGAAUGUAAACCCAUUUUCCUGCCUUCCAUCUGUAAGAUUAAAGUAAAACAAAGAUCCCCAUUAAAAGUCUGUAGAUUUACUGAUUGUGGAGUCUCAGGGACUCACUGUGAAGCUGUGGCCUCAGCUCUGAAGUCCAGCCCCUGCCAUCUAAGAGAACCGGACCUGAGUCUCAACAACCUGCAUGGUUCAGGAAUGAAGCUGCUGUCUGCUGGACUGGAAGGUCCAAACUGUAGCCUGGAGACUCUAAGAUUAAAGCUGCGCCAGUGGCUCCGAUGCAGAAAAGAAGACAGUUAGCUGGAGGGAAUUAAAUUCAUGCUAGGAGCAACAUCUGAUUUGCUUCCGGCUCCCCCAAAUCAUAGUAAAUGAAAAGGUGAGGACCCAACAUGUCCUCAAUGUUCAGGUGCAGCUUCACUUUGGCGCGUUCUAUCAGGGUGUAGACCAAGGUCUUCUCAAGGACGACACGCCUGGAGACAUCACCAAGUGCUGAAAUGUCCAUCAGCAGCCGUUGAGAGUAAGAACUUAGAGCUGAACUCACUGGAUUCAAAAAGGAAACAACAGGGGAUUUGUUUGUGAGGGUGAACAACUCAGGGAAGCAGGUAAGUUUGAGCAGGCGUGGUGCGGGGCAGCUGAAGGCAAGGAUGGACUGGCAAAUGGGAGUAGAAUUAGGAAAACCGCCGGCCUGUACCACGAAGAAAGUUCAACAUAUCUUUUCAUUAUCUGGCCUGACUAAACCUGACAACUGUAGUCACGCUAAGCAGUCACACAAUGGUGGUUGUCAACUCAACACUGUUGUUGUGUUCGUGUCUACAGGAAACAAAGCUGGAUUACAGCUGACAGCCUCGCCAGAUGUACAGAGACGAUGGUCCUUGUUCAUCAAACUGUCCUACCAUCAAAUCUGAUCUGAAACUGUUUGUUCUCUCCUUUCAACACUACAGAGUUGAUCAGUUUCAUCUCUGUCCCUGCUCUAGGAUCAGUCUGACUGAAGCCUGCAAAUCACUGGCUCUUAUUUCAGAGAAGCAUCAUUACAUGUCGUAAUCAUGUGGUCUUUGUACAGACCAGGACCUCUGCUGAAGUCCAGGAAUCCCAUCAGUAUCUCCGUAUCUACUGUCUGCGCAGUAACGAAUCAUCGUGACUCUCAGGAGUUUGCACAUUUCGCUCCAGUCCUCAGUGGAAACAGAGGACACACACUUGUCUGGGAGCUUCCAGCUCAGUGUGUUCACUGCCGUACGUUAACAUGAGAGCUGCCAGGAAGAUGGCUACGCUGCACAGCUGCUCCACAUCUGGACUGAACAGCAUUCAAGUCCCUGCUGCUCCUCGUAGUGGAUGUGCUGCAUCACUGAGUGACAGCUGAUGAAGUGAGUCUCUGUAGACACUGAUGUAUCGCCUCUGUUGUCUGUCUCCUUCUGUGAGCAGAUGGAGGUGAUGACGUAGGGGUCGUGUAGUGGAAGUGAGAG